rnacentral:rRNA from 1 species
AUUGAACGCUGGCGGCAGGCCUAACACAUGCAAGUCGAACGGUAACAGGAAGCGGCUUGCUGCUUUGCUGACGAGUGUCGGACGGGUGUGUGAUGUCUGGGAAACUGCCUGAUGGAGGGGGAGAACUACUGGAAACGGUAACUAAUACCGCAUAACGUCCCAAGGCCAGAGAGGGGGACCUUCUGGCCUCUUGCCAUCGUAUGUGCCCAGAUGUGAUUUGCGAGUAGGUGGGGUAACGGCUCACCUAGGCGACGAUCCCUAGCCGGUCUGAGAGGAUGAACAGCCACACUGGAACUGAGACACGGUCCAGACUCCUACGGGAGGCAGCAGUGGGGAAUAUUGCACAAUGGGCGCAAGCCUGAUGCAGCCAUGCCGCGUGUAUGAAGAAGGCCUUCGGGUUGUAAAGCACUUUCAGCGGGGAGGAAGAGAGUAAAGUUAAUACCUCUCCUUAUUGACGUUACCCAAAGAAGAAGCACCGGCUAACUUCGUG